AAUGAACGCUGGCAACAGGCUUAACACAUGCAAGUGAAACUUGUUAACUCUUUUGUUAAUAAGUCGCAAACGGGUGAGUAACACGUGAGAAUCUACCUACUAGCCCGGCAUAAAAAUUGUUUUUUUUUCUUUUUGGGUAAAAAAAACAAAUAAUUCCGGAUACUAUAAAAAGGUUAAACCCGCUAGUACUACAAAGAUGAGCUCGCGCAAGAUUAGGUAGUUGGUAAGAUAAAAGCUUCACCAAGCCAAAGAUCUUUAGCCGAUUUGAGAGGAUGAUCGGCCACACUGGGACUGAGACACGGCCCAGACACUUUUAAGUGGCAGCAGUGAGGAAUCUUGGACAAUGAACGAAAGUUUGAUCCAGCCAUGUUGCAUGAGGGAAGAAGGCUCUUUUGGUUGUAAACCUUUGAUUUAAGAGAGGAUAAUGACGUACUCUUAAAAAUUAGUCCCGGCUAAUUCUGUGCCAGCCGCCGCCGUAACAC
rnacentral:rRNA from 1 species